rnacentral:rRNA from 1 species
UACGNAGGUCCCAAGCGUUAUUCGGAAUCACUGGGCGUAAAGGGAGCGUAGGCGGCGUGGNAAGUCAGAUGUGAAAUCUCANGGCUCAACCUUGAAACUGCAUCNGAUACUCCCAUGCUAGAGGGCUGGAGAGGUGUUUNGAAUUUUCGGUGUAGCAGUGAAAUGCGUAGAUAUCNAAAGGAAGACCAAUGGCGAAGGCAAAACACUGGACAGNAACUGACGCUGAGGCNCGAAGGCUAGGGGANCGAAAAGG